GGGGGGAGCAAGCGUUGUUCGGAUUUACUGGGCGUAAAGGGCGCGUAGGCGGCCACCGCAAGUCGAUUGUGAAAUCUCCGGGCUUAACCCGGAAAGGUCAACCGAUACUGCGGGGCUAGAGUGCAGAAGGGGCAACUGGAAUUCUCGGUGUAGCGGUGAAAUGCGUAGAUAUCGAGAGGAACACCUGCGGCGAAGGCGGGUUGCUGGGCUGACACUGACGCUGAAGUGCGAAAGCUAGGGGAGCGAACGGGAUUAGAUACCCCGGUAGUCCUAGCCUUAAACGAUGAAUGCUUGGUGUCUGGGGUUUUAUAGUCCCCGGGUGCCGUCGCUAACGCUUUAAGCAUUCCGCCUGGGGAGUACGGUCGCAAGACUG
rnacentral:rRNA from 1 species